CGUUCACCCUCAAGAUGUCAGCUCACGCUAAGAAAAGAAAAGUUGAUAACGAAUUCAACAAGAAAUGGACUGCAAAUUACUUCUUUACAGAAGUUAAAGGUAAAGCAGUAUGCUUAAUCUGUGGUACACAGGUCGCUGUGUUUAAAGAUUACAAUUUGAAUCGACACUACACGACCAAACAUGAAGACAAAUACAAAAAGAAGCUGAAGAACAGAGCGGCCGACUUUGACUGUUUUUCUCUGGCGUUGGAUGAGAGCUGCGAUAUACGUGACACCGCCCAGAUGCUCAUCUUCUUACGUGGGAUAACCGCGGACUUCCAAAUCACGGAGGAGUUGGCAGGACGGCGAGGGCAACCAGCCAUUCAUGUAACCAGGGACCAAAUUGGUUUUCUAAUGAAGCAAGGCAACACGAAUUGGAAACAUUUUGGGAUGCUCCUCCUCAUUUUUGUAUAAGAGGUCGAAUUGCUUGGUGUACCAGUGAAGAGCAGAUUUUCUGCAAUAGAAAACAAGGAACUUGAACGUCAUGUAAGAAAACUUCAAGGCCUGUAUCCAAACUAUAGAUAUGAGGUUGCUAAUUGCUGAUGCCGGUCAUCUGUGCUGGAGUGCCCAGGUGUCGCUGAUUGCUGUCUGCUGCCUGCUGCCUCAGCCUACUUAAGCUCCCUGCAUUCAGUCAGUCAGCGCUGGAUUGUAGACUCAGCUACAGAGAUCACCUGCACUCCCAGCCGGCCUCCAGCUUCCAGAUCCCCUGCCCGGCUCAGCUCUCCUACCUGCCCCACUCCUCCAGCCAUCAUCCGCCUCAUCAUCUGUCCCUUCAUCUGCCCCGCACCUUCUCUUGCAAUAAAACUCUUUGUAACCGCCA